rnacentral:tRNA from 1 species
UGGUUAGGAUUCCUGGCUUUCACCCAGGCGGCCCGGGUUCGAUUCCCGGUGUAGGAA